UGCCAGCAGCCGCGGUAAUACGUGAACCCCAAGCGUUAUCCGGAAUCACUGGGCGUAAAGGGUGCGUAGGCGGUAUUGUUAGUCUUUUGUUAAAGACCCGGGCUCAACCUGGGGAAGGCAAGGGAAACGGCAAAACUAGAGUAUGUGAGGGGUGUGUGGAACUCUCGGUGUAGGGGUGAAAUCCGUUGAUAUCGAGGGGAACACCAAAAGCGAAGGCAGCACACUGGCACAUUACUGACGCUGAGGCACGAAACCGUGGGUAGCGAAUGGGAUUAGAUA
rnacentral:rRNA from 1 species